rnacentral:pre_miRNA from 1 species
UCCCACCGCCGAAUCUGCUGGGGAGGAGGACAUGGCCGCUGGAUCCGGCCACCCCACCCUACUCACCGGCGGAUCCGGCCGUCUAGA